AAUGUUUAUACUUUAAAAUGUUAAAUUGAAACUCCAAUUAUAAAUCUGAAGUAAAUAUAUAAUCAACUGAAUGUGUCUUCUUUAUUGAAUUUACGAGUUUAGAAUCAAUCAUGAUCUUAAGGCAUAUGUUGUCUUACAAUUAUUUAUAAACUUAACUGAUAGAUAUAUAAACUAUUAUUGUGUUAUUUAUUAUGAAUUUGUGUUUUUUAUAAUAUUUCUUGCACCAUAAAUCCAAAUCCCAAACCUAAAAACCCAAAAAAGCAAACCUAAACCCUAAAUAAGCAACCCUAAACCCUAAACCCCAAUUACUAAGUCAGCCGUAAAUGUUAAAGUAACUC
rnacentral:lncRNA from 1 species